ACGCUGGCGGUGCGCCUUAUGCAUGCAAGUCGAGCGAAGCUUUUCAGUAGUUUACUACAGAAAAUGACUGAGCGGCGAACGGGUGAGUAACGCGUGAGCAAUCUACCUUAGUUACAGGGAUAGCCCGAGGAAACUCGGAUUAAUACCUGAUAUUCUUUAUAUUUCGCAUGAAAUUAAAAGGAAAGGUCAGCCGAACUAAGAUGAGCUCGCGUUCUAUCAGCUAGUUGGUGAGGUAAUAGCUUACCAAGGCUACGACGGAUAGCUGGUCUGAGAGGACGAUCAGCCACACUGGGACUGAGACACGGCCCAGACUCCUACGGGAGGCUGCAGCAGGGAAUAUUGCGCAAUGAGCGAAAGCUUGACGCAGCGACACCGCGUGUGGGAUGACGGAUCUAGGUUUGUAAACCACUUUCAGGAGGGAAGAAAAUGACGGUACCUCCACAAGAAGCCCCGGCCAACUACGUGCCAGCAGCCGCGGUAAUACGUAGGGGGCGAGCGUUGUCCGGAUUUAUUGGGCGUAAAGAGCUCGUAGGCGGUUCAACAAGUCGGUCGUGAAAGUUCAGGGCUCAACCCUGAAAUGUCGAUCGAUACUGUUGUGACUAGGAUACGGUAGAGGUGAGUGGAAUUCCGAGUGUAGCGGUGAAAUGCGUAGAUAUUCGGAGGAACACCAAUUGCGAAGGCAGCUCACUGGGCCGCUAUCGACGCUGAGGAGCGAAAGCUAGGGGA
rnacentral:rRNA from 1 species